rnacentral:rRNA from 1 species
UACGUAGGGGGCGAGCGUUGUCCGGAAUUAUUGGGCGUAAAGAGCUCGUAGGCGGCCUGUUGCGUCCGCUGUGAAAGCCCGGGGCUUAACCCCGGGUCUGCAGUGGAUACGGGCAGGCUAGAGGUAGGUAGGGGAGAAUGGAAUUCCCGGUGUAGCGGUGAAAUGCGCAGAUAUCAGGAGGAACACCGAUGGCGAAGGCAGGUCUCUGGGCAUUAACUGACGCUGAGGAGCGAAAGCAUGGGGAGCGAACAGG